rnacentral:rRNA from 1 species
UAGUUGGUGGAGUGAUUUGUCUGGUUAAUUCCGAUAACGAACGAGACCUCUACUUGCUAAAUAGCAACAACAACCUUGAGUUGUUGUAUGACUUCUUAGAAGGACUUUGCAUAUCUAAUGCAAGGAAGUUGGAGGCAAUAACAGGU